UACGAAGGGGGCUAGCGUUGUUCGGAAUUACUGGGCGUAAAGCGCGCGCAGGCGGUUCUUCAAGUCAGCGGUGAAAGCCCAGAGCUCAACUCUGGAAUGGCCUUUGAGACUAGAGAACUUGGGUACGGGAGAGGUGAGUGGAAUUCCGAGUGUAGAGGUGAAAUUCGUAGAUAUUCGGAAGAACACCAGUGGCGAAGGCGGCUCACUGGCCCGUUACCGACGCUCAGGCGCGACAGCGUGGGGAGCAAACAGG
rnacentral:rRNA from 1 species